rnacentral:sRNA from 1 species
GCCCCAAGAUCUGGAUCAAAAGCUCAUGUCUACCAGCCUCGAGAUGUGGGUCACAGGUGUGCCCUCCAUUUCUGGAUUAUAGUUCAUUCCAGAUACAGUCAGGUUGACAACCAAGAAUAGCCAUCACAAUAGGUAUUUUACCCUCAUAUGUGUUUGUGCACCACUUGCAUGUCUAUGUCCUCAGAGGCCAGAAUUGGACAUCAGAUGUCCUGGAACUGGACAGUUACAGUGUAAGCCACCAUGUGGGUGAUGGGAACCAGACUCAGGAACAUUCAGGAAUCAAACACUGGCUGGAAGCACAGCCAGUGCUCCUAACUGCUGAAUCACCUCUCCUGCCCCGGAUUCACUUCUUUUAUUAUAUGUGUAUGUCUGUGUGUGGGUCCGUACAUAUGAGUACAAUGUCUGUGGCGUCCAUAGGAGGGAGUCCAUUCCCUGGAGUUGAAGGGACAGGCUACUGUGAGCUUCCUAAAAUGCAGACUGAGAACCAUGUAUUAAUUGCUGAUCCACCUAUCCAGACCAUAGUUUAGAUUUGUUUAGAUUAGGGCAAUUAUUUGAUUUCUAGUUACAAUUUAGCCAUUCUGUUCAAAAAUAUGUCUGGAAUUGUUCUAGGAGAAGGUGUCAUGGUUUGGACUAUGAAUUGUCUACCAAAACCCACGUGUUGAAGACUCGGUUCCCCAAACAGCUAGUGAUUCCCAUCACUAAAGGGUGGUCAGGAGGGUUCUGUGAUAAUCAGAUAGAUUCCUAACUCAUUGAUGAUUCAUAAUUUGGUGGGAGGACUUCAUUGGGGAUGUGUCUUUGGAAGGUAUAUCUUCUCUCUGACCCCUUCCAGUCUCCUUCUGCUCCCCAGCCUUCCCCAGAUCCAUACUGACUAGGCCAGUGGGCCACACACUGGGACCUCUGACACCAGGAGCCAAACAACACUCUUAAUCUUGUUUUUCUUUGAGAUGUUUUGUCAACAGUAGCAAAAAGUGACCGACAUACUAGGGAUGGCUAGCAACAAACAGCCGGAGUAUACCAUCAAGGGGCGCACAGACCAGCAAGCACACAGAAGACACAGUCAACAACCAUCCAAUGCUUAAUUACAUCCAGGCAUCUGUAAAGGGAAAGACGCAUAUGGUGGGGGUAUCCCACCUCCUGCUGCAUAAGUAAAAACUGAACCUUUGUUGUAUUGUAUCACUGAGAUGUCAUUGUUCCCUUGACACACAUGCCAAGACUGUGGGGCUGCAGUGUGACAGGAGGGACCAUGGAUUAGUUACUUUUCCAUCACCAUAAUCAGCAUUCCCCGAAGACACUGUUGGAGAGAGACAGCAUUUAUUUUGACUCAUGGUUUCAGAGGUUUUUCAGUCCAUCAUGGUGCUUCCUAUGAUGAUGUGACCAGUCCAUGACAACAGGAGCCUACAGGCAGAAGCUGUUGAUGAUGUAUCAGAAUGCAGAGAGCAAACCAGGAAGGAGGCAGAAAUCACAUGACCCACUCAAGGACCUGCUGCAAGUGAUCUACUUCCGGGUCAGGUAGGCACCUCCCAUCAAGUGGAAAGGUAUUCAAAACCUGAGCCGUAGGGGAGGGACAUUUCAGAUGUAAAUCCAAACACAGCAGGUUGGAGCAGAGCUAUCGAGAUAAACUUGUGGCCUGGGAGAGAAGUCUCUGUGCUGGCAGAAUAGAGGUGGAGUGGUAGACAUCUGGGAGGUAGAAGCACUCUGAGUGACUUGAGUUUCUGGCUUGUAUAGCUGGAUAUCCACCCACCACUCAUUCUUUGUUUUACUUAAUGACUCAGUGGGUGAUUGACACUCCAUCCACUACUGGCAGAUGCCCAUAAGCGAGUUGUCCCCAUUUCUUCUUCAACUUAGAAACUGAGAGAACUGAAUGGGUUCCCCGUGAACUCAAGCUCACAAUCUGCCCAGAAGUUUGUCCACUGGUAAGGGACCUCCUCUCUGGGAGAGAGGAGAGAAAAAGUAGGGAGUCAGGGAAAGAGAAAAUAACAAGAAGUCGUACACACGGACCUUGUGCCCAUCCAGCCUGAGCCACUUUAAUUUCUCACCUGGAUCAACAAAGAGGACCUCAGCUUCUGCCCUUUCUCAACUCGGCCAGAGCGAAUCUGCUAAUGCAGCAGUCAGUCAGGCACAGACUAUGUAUAAUUCAGGGUUUCUCAACCUAUGCACCUUCACCACGUGGGCCAGCAUCAUGGGUGAGGGGAAAGAAAUGCUGUCCUUGGAUGUUUAGCAGCAUCUCAAACCUGUGCCUGCUACAGCCACUGUCACACUCAAGGCCUCCUCAUCUGUGACAAGGAGAAUGGGCAGCAAACACGCCAAAUACUCUUUACUCCAGGCAGUCCUGAAAUGCCUUCUCCUCCUUGCAGAGGGACAAUUCAUGAGCACCCUCUCUUCUCUGAUUCCGCCCCUCCCCCACCUCACCCACUCAGCUUCCUUCCUGCGGGCUGACCCUCCGCCUAGCCCUCUAGCUCAUGAGCUGGGGUCUCAGUCUGAGCUGAGGGCCCUGCUGCUCUUGCUUAGGGAGGAUGCCCCGCCCUAAGAUUUCCAAAGAACUCCCUCCAUCAGUAACUUUGGCUUUUGGCUUAAACGUUACCUUCUCGGUGACGCCAACUCAAGGCGCCUCUUAGGAAAUUAAAAUCUCAGUGCGUUCAUUUGCUAGGAUGGAAUGAGUCAGCGCGGGUUGGGUGAGUUAAAGCAAGGAGUGGGUUUUUACACAGAUCUGGAAGCUAGAAGUACAAAGUCGAGGCGCCUGCAGACCUGGUUUCUCCUAAGGCUCUCAUCAGCCGAAGCCCUUGCUUGUCCUUGCUGGGUGUACAGGCAUCCCAGUUUGUCCGUCCCAAUUCCCUCUUCUGUCCAGGACACUCUUUAACCUAGUCACCCAGAGUUCCAGGGCUCUCUGAGAUCUUAGGGUGUUAAGCUUGCACUUGGGAACUUUAGGGGUGUUACCUUCGGCCCGGGACACUCCAAUGGAUCAGCAAUGAUCAAGCUGGCAUUCUGAAUAGUUUACCUUUUCAUCCAGAUUAUGGUGUCUUUCUCUUCCAGGUCUCCACCAGAAUAUCAUAUUCCAUAAAGCCAGGGAUUUUUGUCAAUCGUAUUCACUGCUACAUUCACAGUGCCUAUUAGCACAUGGCAAACACUUGUUAGAAGUGUUACAGACAGGAGCAAGAACUGCUUCUCCACAUACCAGCUGCACCCUUGGGAAAGAUCACUUCUCUAUUCCUCAGCUCCCUCUCUCAGGCUAAGACAACCCAGAGCAUGAACUCUGGUCUAUUAGCAUAGGGAUGCUAACUUCUAGGUUCUCAAGAAAACCCUGUGAGAGAAAAGUUUCCUUUCAACUGCUUCUAAGGGAGGCACAAUUCCAGAACAUCAAGGUGAGGGAGCAGGAAGUGAGGUAAAGGUAGCUGAGAAGUGAGAAGGGGUUGUGGGGAGGUAGUGUCCAGACAACUGGCCCCCACUCCCUUUCAAAGCCAGGUCACACAGAACUUCUCCAGACAGGCCUCACAGAAAGCACUGGCCUGAGAACAGCCUAAGGCAAGAGGGCUCCCUCCAGCCUUGUGCCUCCCAUUAGCUAGAAGUAGCCGCAGGAGAGUUAAUGCCCUUGCAGCAUAAAGGUCUCAGCUGGUUCUUUAAACAGCCUGGAAGGGAGCCAGACCCUUGGCCCUCUGGAGGAAGGCUUCGUCCCAGUCUGGAAGCAGUAGAGCCUGCAGAGGUUGGCCCUAGGCUGCCAUGAGCGAAGGAAGAAGGGUUGAAAAGAGCCAGUUCUUGUUGCCUGUGGACUGGAAAGACCCCAGCCAGGUGAGCCCGCCAAGAACGUGUCCAAAGCGGGAUAAGUGAGGGAAGCUGCCAGAUUGUGGAGAACAAAGGUUCAGGUAGAGCUGGCCAAAAGUCUCCAAUGGUGAAAGGGGGCUUAGUAGCCCAGUAAAAACAUGCAUAGGUCAUCAGAGCCAGGGGACCUGGGUUUACCUUUGACAGCCCGGACAGACCAUGCCUGUGCUCUGCAGCCAGACCUAGUGGAACCGUUCUAGGCCUAUGUCCAGGUUGCCACCUUGGACCAUGCUUCCCCUUCAGGGCAGACCUCUCCCUCCAGUCUCCGCCCAGUGUCUCCUGGGAAGCCGUACUAGCAGAUCGCACCACUUGAGCGUUGGGAAGGCUGUCUGCGGAACUGUGCCGGGGAGGUCAAAUGAAAAUGGAGUUUGAGUCAAGCAACAGAAAACACAGGGGAUGGAUGGACUUAGAAGCCAAGGCUGACUUUAAACUCUCCCAUGCUACUACAGGAGACUGGCUACGAACCCAGCACAAUAUCAAAAAGCAAGCAUGCACAGAUAAGACUCUCAUAAAAUGAGCUCAGGCCUAUGAAGCAGUUUCAGGAAUACAACAGCCUCUCCGACUUUGCCUUGCCACUUGACUACUGUGUGUUCUGUGGAGAAACCACUCCGUGCUGAACGGAGCAGCCUUCUACCUCCAGCAGUGACUCUUGUCCUUCUCACACACAGCCCGGAUGAAAACACAACCUGCUUCACACAGCUUGUUUGUUGCUAAGUAACCACUUCUUCCUGGUAUGAGUGUGUGACCACCCUUUCUUACUGCAACUUAAUUGCGUGACCUUAACACUGGAGAAUGGAAUUGGAAUGGGGCAGGCGUGGGGGUGGGGCUUCAUUUCUCAUCACCUACACUGUCUGUUAUUGUCCAUGACCCUGAAGAACAUUUCCUGGGAAAAGGUGAAAAAAGGGAGGGGCAGAGGAAGAACUGAGAACACGAGGGAGGUAGGAGGAAGUCUAAUCUCCACCCAGCCACCCCAGAGACCUCCUGGUGACUGCAUGAGCCAGAGAGCAGACAACAACCUUCUGUCCCCUUUCUCCUUCAAACACUGCUAACCCACGGGUCAAGCAUGAGCAUAGGCUUUGAAGCCAGGAAUAGUCACCUCAACCCUUGCCACAGUCCCAAGGGACACAGAGGCCACCAGCAAUACGGCAGCAAUCUCCUCUUUCAAGAGCAAGAGAGAGAUAAGUAAGAGUUUCCUCUUAGGAGCUCUGUCUCACAUUCACUAUGUCCCUGAAGCUGGGGUCUAUGAGGCUAUUGGUGACUGAUGUUUCCCAGAAUUCCAUAGUCAUGCAGGAACCUGUCACUUCUCUCAGGAAAUCGAAUGGUCUGCCCCUAGAUCACUAUAAGUUAUCCACUACCACCAGCUUUAUAGAGGCAUGAUCAAGAAAUAAAGGUGUGUGUGGGCUGGGGGCAUGGCUCAGCUCAGAGAGAGCUCUUGCAUCUCGUGUGUGAGGAUCUACAUGCUUGUAAUCGCAGCACCAGCAAGAUGGGAGACAGCGACAAGGAAGAUCCUGGAAGUUCCCUACUCGGUGACGUUCCAGACCAAUGAAAGACUGUGUCUCAAACAAAAGAGCUAACACCUAAGGUCAUGCCCCUGACCUCCACGCAUGUGUCAUGCAUGUGCACACUGAACGCACAUUUACCCCUCCCACACCCACACAUGCACCCUCAUCUGCAUAUUCCCACAAGACCGCAUGCAGUUAAGGUGUACAUGUUUUGCUCAGCAUUCUCUACACUCAGUCUGUUUAACACAUCUGUGACCUAGCUAUGUGUGUGUGUGAGAUAAUACCUCACACCUACUCCCUUAACACAUAACAAUGAUGUAACCCUGCAUUAGUAAUAAGUGUGGUCACUUUGCUGUACACUGGUUCUCCAGAAGCCAGUCAUCUCAGAACUGCAAGUCCUCCUGUGUUACCCUUGGAUGAACGUCUCCCCCACUUACCUUACCUCUGAUCCUUAAUAAUUAUCCUUCUGCUCUAUCCUGAGGCUCUGACGUUUUCAGAUUCCACUUCUACAAGGAGAUCGUAUGCCCCGUGCAUUACUCAGUCUUCCCAUUGCUGUGACAGAGGUAAUUUAAGGAGGGGGAGGGGCAUUCUGCUUUAAGAAGAUGUGUAGGGAGGGCUGGAGAGAUGGCUCAGUGGUUAAGAG